UACGUAGGGUGCGAGCGUUAAUCGGAAUUACUGGGCGUAAAGCGUGCGCAGGCGGUUCGUUAAGUUCGUUGUGAAAGCCCCGGGCUCAACCUGGGAACUGCGUCCGAUACUGGCAGGCUUGAAUCCGGGAGAGGGAUGUGGAAUUCCAGGUGUAGCGGUGAAAUGCGUAGAUAUCUGGAGGAACACCGGUGGCGAAGGCGGCAUCCUGGACCAACACUGACACUGAGGAGCGAAAGCCAGGGGAGCAAACGGG
rnacentral:rRNA from 1 species